rnacentral:tRNA from 1 species
ACCUCCGUGGCCGAAUGGUUAAGGUUCCGCAUUUGAAAAUUUUGGGGAAGGUUCGAUUCCGCUCGGGGAUU